rnacentral:rRNA from 1 species
UACAGAGGUCCCAAGCGUUGUUCGGAUUUACUGGGCGUAAAGGGUGCGUAGGUGGUCGGGUAAGUCUCAUGUGAAAUCCCGCAGCUUAACUGCGGAACGGCAUGGGAUACUAUUCGGCUCGAGGAUCGGAGGGGGGACUGGAAUUCCCGGUGUAGCAGUGAAAUGCGUAGAUAUCGGGAGGAACACCAGUGGCGAAGGCGAGUCCCUGGACAAUUCCUGACGCUGAGGCACGAAAGCCAGGGGAGCAAACAGG